GUGGGGGAGGUACAAAGUAUUUGAUCAUGUUUGCUUUGAUAAUUUUGAGUCUCAUGCAUUGCAUUGCAUUAUACAUACAUAUAUGCAUAGAAAAACCAAAAAAAUUGAGAAUUUUGAAAAAUACAAAAAGAAUCAUGUAGUUGCAUCACUUGCAUUCUUAGGAUUGAGUCUAAAGCAUAUAGGUUGCAUUCACUUGCAUAUGGAGCAGCAGUUGAAUUGUAAAGAACACUUGUUUGCACUGAAAUUGACACUCUAGCUAAACAUAUCAAGUAGCUUAGGCAUCUCUUGAAAUCCUUGCAUGCUUCGAGCCUUGAAAACUCUUCUUGAAGCAUG
rnacentral:lncRNA from 1 species